rnacentral:rRNA from 1 species
UACGAAGGGGACUAGCGUUGUUCGGAAUCACUGGGCGUAAAGCGCACGUAGGCGGAUAUGUCAGUCAGGGGUGAAAUCCCGGGGCUCAACCUCGGAACUGCCUUUGAUACAGCAUGUCUUGAGUCCGAUAGAGGUGGGUGGAAUUCCUAGUGUAGAGGUGAAAUUCGUAGAUAUAUGGAAGAACACCAAUAACGGCGAAGGCAGUUAACUAUUCUGUUACUGACAUUGAGGCACGAAAGCGUGGGGAGCAAAACGG